rnacentral:rRNA from 1 species
GCUCAGUAACACGUGGAGAACGUGCCCUUAAGCGGAGGAUAAUCUCGGGAAAUUGAGGAUAAUACUCCAUAGGUCACGGGGUCUGGAACGACCCGUGGCCGAAAGCCCCGGCGCCUAAGGAUCGCUCUGCGGCUUAUCAGGUCGUAGUGGGUGUAACGUACCCCCUAGCCGACGACGAGUAUGGGCCUUGAGAGAGGGAGCCCAGAGUUGGAUUCUGAGACACGAAUCCAGGCCCUACGGGGCGCAGCAGUCGCGAAAACUUCACACUGGGGGCAACCCCGAUGAGGGAAUUCCUAGUGCCAGGGCCUCUGGUCCUGGCUUUUCUCCGGCGUAGACGACCGGAGGAAUAAGGGCUGGGUAAGACGGGUGCCAGCCGCCGCGGUAAUACCUGCAGCCCGAGUGGUGGUCGAUUUUAUUGAGUCUAAAACGUUCGUAGCCGGCCCGGUAAAUCCCUGGGUAAAUCGGGAAGCUCAACUUCCCGAAUUCCGGGGAGACUGCCGGGCUUGGGACCGGGAGAGGCUAGAGGUACUUCUGGGGUAGGGGUAAAAUCCUGUAAUCCUGGAAGGACCACCGGUGGCGAAGGCGUCUAGCUAGAACGGAUCCGACGGUGAGGGACGAAGCCCUGGGUCGCAAACGGGAUUAGAUACCCCGGUAGUCCAGGGUGUAAACGCUGCAGACUUGGUGUUGGGGGCCCUUCGGGGGCGUCCAGUGCCGGAGAGAAGUUGUUAAGUCUGCUACUUGGGGAGUACGUCCGCAAGGAUGAAACUUAAAGGAAUUGGCGGGGGAGCAC